rnacentral:rRNA from 1 species
GCUUACGGCCAAUACCACCCUGAGCACAGCCCGAUCUCGUCUGAUCUCGGAAGCUAAGCAGGGUCGGGCCUGGUUAGUACUUGGAUGGGAGACCGCCUGGGAAUACCAGGUGCUGUAAGCU